AGGUAUGUAAAUGUUUAUCCGAAAUUUUAAAAACAAAACAGAUACGUACAGUGUUACUAAUGCUGCCUACAAUGUAAUUCUUUCCAUUCCGAUACCAUAACAGCGUACGUUAUUCAAACUUUUAUUCAAAUAGCUAUUGUAUUUGUCUUCAUUUAAUAAAGAUUUGUUUUAUUACUUGAGAGUAGCAUUUACAGAAUUUAUAUAACCUAUUUACAGAUACUUUUCAACAAAAAUACAUGGACAAACUCUACUAUAAAAUAGCUAGCAAAGUAACAAUACUUUAUCAUCACACUUAAAACUCUCAGAAAAAUUAAGAAAAUAUCAAUGAACAUUUUCAAGUGCAUGUUCAUUUUUCCUUUUUUUGUUGUUGCACUACUCCUCUUCACUCACUUUGAAGCAGCAAAGACUCGAAAUAAUUGUGGUUACACUAUCUGGAUAAUGAUUUUCUUGAAUACCAAUCUCCAUGACAAACCCCAAUGACAUUAGCUAAAUAUUUCCUAAACCAACAUAUAAGAAAGUUGGGACUUGAAAGAGAAUAGAAGACAUAGAAGAAAAGAUAAAGAAAUUUAUUAAAAAGAUCAUUUAUUAAAAAGAUCAUAUUUUCGUAACUAAUGAAGAAGAAUUGAGGACAGUGUAGAAUAAAAAAUGAGGAAUGUUUAUGCAUUAAAAAUGAUUUACUUCACUAUUUAUACUAACCAAAAGGAUUAGAAAAAUAACACCAAAAAAUAAUUUAAUGGAUAUGAGUAUUAAAUGCAUUAAUUGUAUUUAAUUAGGUGUUUAUUUUAAAGGACUUAAAUUGCUUGAGUUAAUGUGGACAAAAUGUAACCGUUCCUUAUUAUGUGACAGUUACGUUUUCCUUUUAAGAGAAUAAAAAAAAAUUAGCAUAUAAAAUAUGAAAAAAAAAAAGUCAAAAAAAUAUGGUAAAAGAUAAAUGCCUUUCUUGACAUUCUAGACAUGCCACAUCAGCUACUUAUUCUCUUUUAUAUAGAGAGAGAGAGAUUUGUUUACAACAUUCUUUACUUUCUUCAUUUUAAAAUUAUUUUUGAUUUAACGUUUUUCUUUUUGAUAUGUAGGACAUCUUCAUCUUUCCUCUUCUAUCGUAAACGAAAGGAAACAAAUCCACAUCUAUUGAUGCUCUAUCUAUCUGCUUCACACAGUAAUUCGUCUCUCAUUACAAAUGAUAACACCUUCCAAGAAGAUAAGAAAAAAAAUAAAUUGAUAAUAAUAGAAAUGAAGACUUCGAUAAGUAAAAGAUUUAUAGGUAAAUUGGUUUCAAAUCAAUAUCAUUUCUAUUUUUUAAUUUAUGAAGAAGUGUUGAGAGUUUAUUCUAAUUUUUAGUGAUAAAUUUAUUGUUAUUGUUGACUUGCAGAAGGGAUAAAGAAGAAUGAAGAGAAGAAAAUAAUAGAUAACUGUAAAAAUAUGAAUUUUGUUGGUAUAGUUGGCAAACGUAAGUUUUUUAAAAUAGAGUUAAUACAUAAAAAUGACCCUAAAUUUGAUACCAAAUUAUAACUUUGAUCUUAAACUUUGAUAGUGCACAAAUAUGACCUUUAACUAUUCAAAACCUGAACAAAUAUGACCUCCAAUUUUGCAACCUCAUGUGUGAGUCUUACUCGUGCCUAUGUGGAAAGGUAAUCCAAUCACACGGUGCCACAUCAUUAAAAGGGCUGACUUGGAGAGAGGUCAUAUUUGUGCAGUUUUGAAUAGUUAAAAGUCAUAUUUGUGCACUGUCAAAGUUUUACUUUUUGUGUUAAAACGACGUUUUUAUUAUUAUUAUUAUUAUUAUUAUUAUUAUUAUAAUAAUAAUAAUAAUAAUAAUAAUAAUUUUAUUAUUUAUUUCUAUAGUAGCAGCACCUAACUUUUUCUUGAAUUUUAAAAAAUUAUUAUUAUUGUUAUUAUUAUUUUAUUUAUUUCUAUAGCAGCAGCACCUAACUUUUUUUUAAUUUAAAAAAAAAAUAGUCACUAGCAGAGAUCAAACCCGAACAGUAGGCUGAAGGAAGCAAUAACACCGCUGGGCUAUCUAAGUGUCUUGUUUCAUGUGGUUCAAUAUUAAUAUACGUACAUAAAUACACAUUUCUAUCUUAUAUAUAUACAACGUAAUUAUUUUACCGAGGGGGUUCGGGUGAACCCCAUGGCAACCACGUAGGUCCACCCCUCGUUAAUUUAAUAACAUUUUAAUAACGUUAAUUUAAUAACAUUUUAAUUACGUUAAUUUGAUAACGUUANNNNNNNNNNNNNNNNNNNNNNNNNNNNNNNNNNNNNNNNNNNNNNNNNNNNNNNNNNNNNNNNNNNNNNNNNNNNNNNNNNNNNNNNNNNNNNNNNNNNNNNNNCAUCUUUAAUUUAAUAUUUAAAUAAAUAAUAUUUAGAUAUAUUGUAUAACUUAAAUUUGUCCCCUGCUUUACAAUAUAUAUACAUACCCGCUCGAUUUUUUCAUAUGAGGCUGACCCGCCUAAUUAAUAAAUCUUCAAUAUUGCUCUUUUUCCGCAAUGACAAAAGAAAUUAGAUGUCAUUUUCAUCUUUGAGACGAAAAUAAUGAAAAAAUAAUAGUGAAGAGUCAUUUAAAGGUCAUCUUUGUACAGUUUUGAAUAGUUAAAGGUCAUAUUUGUGCACUGUCAAAGUGUAAGGUCAUAUUUAUGUAUUAUGCCCUUAGAUUUUAAGCUGGAAGCACCCAGUUUUGCGUGUUGAGCACGCAUUUUACCACGUAGGAUUGGAGGUCAUAUUUGUGCAGUUUUGAAUAGUUAAAGGUCAUAUUUGUGCACUGUCAAAGUUAUAAUUUGAUGUCAAGUUUAAGAUCAUUUUUAUGUAUUAACUCUUUAAAAUAUGUGUUUGAUAUUAGUGUUCUUCUUUUAGCGUUGUUUUAUUUCAUAGUCUUUUUGUAUGCAAUUUAUGAUGGUCUGUUUUCUGGAUCUAAUAAGUGCACAUUUCCUAUACUAAAGGGAGGGAGCCAUGGGGUCAUUAUCCAAAGCAGGCAUGUUGGAUUAUUCAAAGCAUUUUCAAAGCCGAGAGAUGUAUUGAAGCAGUUAGACUAACGCCUGUUGAGUUUACUAACACAUCCACCUUCUCCAUAAAGGCUAUGUACAAAGCACUGUUAGAGGGGCAUACUAAAGUGGCUUGGCGUAGACUGAUUUGUAACAACGUGGCUUUUCUCGCAGCACAUAAGAGACUCUACACUAAAGACCGGUUGAUUAAAUAGAAGAUGCAAGUUGACCCCAUAUGUCCCUUGUGUGAACAAGUACCCGAAACUAUUAAUCACUUAUUCUUCAAGUGUAAGGUUUCAGCAGAGGUCUGGGGGAGGAUAUUACGGUGGCAAGGAUUACAGCGGCAACCAGUGGCGGAUCCACCUUGUAAUCAGGGUUUAUUCGAACCCCCUUCGAUGGAAAAUUAUACAUUUUUUAUACUAUUUUACACGGUCAAAAAUAUUUUUAUGUAUAUAUUGUAGAUGUUGAACUCCCUUCGACUGGUUCGUAUGUUUACUUCUGAACCCCUUGAUGAGAAUCCUGACUCUUCCAGUGGCGGCAACUCGAGGAGUGGCAAGGGGAACUAAUAUGGUGCACCUCCAAGCACAAUAGUAAGAAUAGCACUGAUCUUCUAUAUAGAACUACCCUGGUAGCUGCAAUUUAUUACGUAUGGAGGGAAAGGAACCAGGUAGUUUUUCAGCACAAGAGGAGUUGAGGGGAUGCUACAGUGAGGUUGAUCAUCCAAACCAUAUUCACCAGGACAACACCCACAAGCAAAAUGCAGGGAAAGCUAGCAAAAUUAAAUUGGUACCCGUAGUUAAGUCAUUAGCUGAUAUGUUUCGGUAGUGAUUUAGAUUUAAAGGCAGUAGCUGGGAUGUUUCCAACUAUGCCUAGACAGUUUAUAUGUCGUUUGCUUUGUAAUUUCUACUUUGGUGAUAAAUAAAAUGUUUAUUUACCAAAAAAAAAAAUUAUUAGGACUUUACAAAACACAUUCAUAGACAUUUAGAUAUUCUAAUUUAUUUAUUAUUUUUUAAUUUUACUUGUAAAUUUAUAUUUAUUUAUAAUUUUUUUUAGUGAUUUUGGGUGUUAUUUAGUUUCAUAAUAUAGAGAAAGAAAAUAACAAACACGAAAAUAAAUCAUAGCCUAAAAAGGUACAUUUUUAAUAUAAUAUCUUGGAGUAUAAUUAACAUGAUGUACGCAGAUUACAUAGUUAUCUUUAUAUGUAUGUAUGUAUGUAUGCAUGCAUGUAUGUAUGUAUGUAUAUAUAUAUAUAUAUAUAUAUGUAUAUAUACAUACAUAAUAAAUUUUUUAUUUUACUUUUUUCCUUUAAAUUCAUAUUCAAGAAAUUCUUUUACCUUAUUGAAAUCCUUAUAACUCUUGGGACAAAGUCAAUAAAUUUUUUGAAAUUGAAUAAAAAGGAAGAAAUUAAAAUAUGAGAUAAAAGUUUAUUUGAUAGAGGUGAAAGUAUUUAAUUAAAAUUUUAAAUCAUAAUCAUAUCUAACAUAUUAGACUAUAUUAGAGUCUUCUAAUCUGUAUUUCAUUUUAUCAUUUCUGUUAUGCAUGAAAAACUUUAUCAAUUUAAUAUCAAGUUGUGGAAAAAAUUUAUUUUAAAAUGUAAGUAAAUAAAUACUUAAGCAAUAUCUUUAUUUAUAUAUUUUAUAUUAAUAUGAAAUUAUAGUGUAAAAUAAAAUAUAAAUAGAUAAAUCUAAACAAUGGAAAAAUCCUGGACAAUGAAACAAAAGUUAGAAAUAAAAUUUUCAAAAUGUUUUUUUUAACUAUAAUGAGUAAAAUCUUAUAUUUUAAUGAAUUUAUGAGUUUGCUUUUUCCUUUAAAAUUAAUAUUCAAGAAAUGCCACAUACAUUAUGAAAUUCCUUUUAAUUCUUAGGAAAAGUUAAUAAUAUUUUUGAAUUUGAGUAAAAAAGAUUAAAACUAAAUAUUGAGAUAAAGUUAUAUUUUUGAUAGAUGUGAAAGUGUAACUAAUUUUAAUUGAAGACAAAAUCUAGUAAAGUAGAAUAAUUUGGAGUCCUCUUCUAAUAUUUUUUUUUGUUAUGCAUAAAAAAAGUAUCUAUUUUAAUUUUUAUAUUUUGAGAUAAUAGAUAAGAAAAUUCAAUUGCUUAUGCGUGUAAUACAACAAAAUAAUUUUAAAAUAUACCUCAAGUGGGGUGGGGUUGGGAGGUGUUGUAGAUCUAAAUCAUGAAUAAUAUAAUAAAUAAAAAUAUGAUAAAUAACUUUUUUUACAAGUAAUGAUUAUUUUUAUAUAGGUUUUUUUAGAAGUAAGGUGAUUGGGGUGGGGGUGGAAGCAUUGGGGAGGGGGGUUUCAGAUUUUUUUUAUUUUUUAUUUUUAAAUUGAGGGUGGGGUGGAGGAUGGAUAUGGCCGUGGAGGUGGUGGGGGCGUAGUGUUUUUUUCAUAUUUCAUUGAUAAAUAAUAUGAUAUGAACUUUUUUUCUAAAGAUUAUAUGGUUUAACAUGUUGAACAAAGUCAUUUCAAUAUGAAAUUGUUAAAAAUAAUAUAUUAAUAUUAUACGCGCAUCGCGCAGGUACAUAAACAAGUAUAUAUAUAUAUAUAUAUAUAUAUAUAUAUAUAUAUAUAUAUAUAUAUAUCAACAACAACAACAACAACAGCAACAACAACGAGAACCAAAUCGCUUCAAUGAUACUACAGGACCCUUUACGCGUUUUCAUAACCUUAAUAGUAAUAUUUUUGGUUCAUUAUGAGUCCACACAUAGUCUUAAAUGCCAUUCUUGGCGUCAAUAGGCCUUCUAACAGGACUUCCAGUUAUAGCCUGAAUCGGAACUAUUACUACAGGAUCAUGAUGUGCAACCUUAGUAUCAUUGGUUGAUAAGAUUCUUAUUAUGUAUUUAGUGUCAUAUUCUAUUAAUAGCUUAAGUAUGUUAUAGUUCAUCACAAAAUAUUUAGCCUAUCAUUUAGAAUAAUUUUAAAGUAAAGACAAUAAAUAAAUAAUACUCCCUCCGUCUCAAAUUACACGUCAAAUUGAGAUGACACAUUAAUUAAGAAAAAUAAUUAAUAACAUGACUAGUUUACCAUAGUAUCCCUAUUAAAUGAUGUUUACAUUUUAAUUUGAAAAAAAAAUAAUUAAUGUAAAGGGUAAAACAUGGAAUUUUUUUUUGCCUCUUCUUGAUUAAUGAAAAAAGACAAGUAAAAUGAGAAAUCAAAUUAGAAAAUUUAGAACGGAUAAUUUGAGACGGAGGGAGUAGAAACUUAAAGUACCUUAAAAUAAAAGAGCUUGAUCAAUGCCUUUUGGGAUUUAAACAAACUUUUAUUACUGGAUGAAUAUAUUAAAAUGAGAGCAAAAGAGUAAAGAGAGGUGAUUUCUCAAAACCUGCCUCUCAAUACAAAAAUUGAGAUCCUUUUAUAGAGGAUUCUCCUUACUAAAUG
rnacentral:lncRNA from 1 species